rnacentral:sRNA from 1 species
GUGCUCGUUCUUCAAAAAACAAACUGCCAAAAUCCCUCUUACGUCACGACGAUGCCAUGAGUUCAAUCCAAAACGGUCGCUACAUUUUCGAAAAGUACUUAUGGCCCCAAAACGAACACCGUGUGCAGAAGUUACGCUCCAUUAUUCGAACGUCGAUAAUCCAAUUAUGCAAGUGCUCGAUCUUUGAAAGAAAAAUGCCCAAAAUCCCUCAUACGUCACGACAAAGUAGUGAGUUCAAUCCAAAACGAUCGCUACAUUUUUGAAAAGUACUUAUGGGCCCAGAACGGAUACCGUGUGCAAAAGUUGCUCUAAAUUCUUCGAACGUCGACAAUCCAACUAUGCAAGUGCUCGUUCUUAAAAAAUAAAUGGUCAAAAUCCCACUAACGUCACGACGAUGUCCUGAGUUCAAUCUAAAAUGGUCGCUACAUUUUUGAAAAGUACUUAUGGGCCCGAAACGGAAACCGUGUGUAAAAGUUACGCUCAAUUCUUCGAUCGCCGACAAUCCAAAUAUGCAAGUGCUCUUUCUUCAAAAAAAAUGCCUAAAAUCCCUCAUACGUCACGGCAAAGCUGUGAGCUCAAUCUAAAAUGGUCGCUACAUUUUGGAAAAGUACUUAUGGGCCCAAAAUGGAAACCGUGUACAAAAGUUACGCUCACUUCUUCGAACGUCGAGAAUCCAAAUAUGCAAGUGCUCGGUGUUCAAAAAAUGAAUGGUCGGAAUCCCUCUUGCGUCACGACGAUGCCAUGAGUUCAAUCCAAAAUGGUCGCGACAUUUUCGAAAAGUACUUAUGGGCCCAAAACGGACACCGCGUGCAAAAGUUGCGCUCAAUUCUUCGAACGCCGACAAUCAAAAUAUGCAAGUGCUCGUUCGUCGAAAAACAAAUGGUGGAAAUCCCUCUUACGUCACGAAGAUGUGUGAGUUCAAUCCAAAACGAUCGCUACAUUUCCGAAAAGUACUUAUUUGCCCAAAACGAAAAUCGUGUGCAAAAGUUACGCUCAAUUCUUCGAACGUCGACAAUCUAAAUAUGCAAGUGCUCGUUCUUCGAAAGAAAACGUUCAAAAUCCCUCAUACGUCACGGCAAAGCGGUGAGUUCAAUCAAAAUCGGUCGCUACAUUUUCGAAAAAUGCAUAUGGGCCCAGAACGGACACCGUGUGCAAAAGUUGCUCUCAAUUCUUCGAACGUCGACAAUCCAACUAUGGAAGUGCUCGUUCUUCAAAAAAAAUGGUUGAAAUCCCUCUUACAUCACGACGAUGCCAUGAGUUCAACCAAAACGGUCGCUACAUUUCUAAAAAGUAUUUAUAGGCCUAAAACGGACACCGUGUGCAAAAGUUACGCUCAAUUCUUCGAACGUCGACAAUCUAAAUAUGCAAGUGCUCGUUCUUCGAAAGAAAAGCGCUCGAAAUCCCUCAUACGUCACGGCAAAGCGGUGAGUUCAAUCCAAACCGGUCGCUACAUUUUCGAAAAGUACUUAUGGGCCCAGAACGGACACCGUGUGUAAAAGUAGCUCUCAAUUCUUCGAAAGUCAACAAUCCAACCAUGGAAGUGCUCGGUCUUCAAAAAAGAUGGUUGAAAUCCCUCUUACAUCACGACGAUGCCAUGAGUUCAACCAAAACGUUCGCUACAUUUCUAAAAAGUAUUUAUGGGCCUAAAACGGACACCGUGUGCAAAAGUUACGCUCAAUUCUUCGAACGCGGACAAUCCAAAUAUGCAAAUGCUCAUUUUUCAAAAAAACAAACGGUCGAAAUCCCUCUUACAUCAUGAUGGUGCCAUGAGGUCAAUCCAAAAUGGUCGCUACAUUUUUGAAAAGUACUUAUGGGCACAAAACGGACACCAUGUGCAAAAGUUACGCUCAAUUCUUCGAAUGCCGACAAUCUAAAUAUGCAAGUGCUCGUUCUUCAAAAAAUAAACACCCGAAGUCCCUCAUACAUCACGGCAAAGUGGUGAGUUCAAUCCAAAACGAUCACUACAUUUUUUAAAAGUACUUAUGGGCCUAAAAUGGACACCAUGUGGAAAAGUUGCUUUCAAUUCUUCGAGCGCCGACAAUCCGAAUACGCAAGUUUUCGUUCUUCGAAAAACAAAUUGUCGAAAUCCCUCUUAUGUCGCAACGAUGCCAUGAGUUCAAUCCAAAAUGGUCGCUACAUUUCUGAAAAGUAUUUACGGGCCCAAAACAGAAAUCGUGUGCAAAAGUUACGCUCAAUUCUUCGAACGUCGACAAUCUAAAUGUGCAAGUGCUCGUUCUUCAAAAAAAAUGCUUGAAAUCCCUCAUACGUCAUGGUAAAGAUGUGAGUUCAAUCCAAAACUGUUGCUGCAUUUCCAAAAGGUACUUAUGGGCCCAAAACGAACACCGUGUGCAAAAGUUACGCUCAAUUCUUCGAACGUCGACAAUCCAAAUAAGCAAAUGCUCAUUCUUCAAAAAACAAACACCUGAAAUCCCUCUUACAUCACGACGGUGCCAUGAGUUCAAUCCAAAACGGUCGCUACAUUUCCAAAAAGUACUUGUGGGCCCAGAACGGACACCAUGUGCAAAGGUUGCGCUCAAUUUUUCGAACAUCGAAAAUCCAACUACGCAAGUGCUCUUUCAUCGAAAAAAUGCUUGAAAUCCCUCAUACAUCACGGCAAAGCUGUGAAUUCAAUCCAAAACGGUCACUGUGCGCAAAAGGUGCGCUCAAUUCUUCAAACAUCGACAAUCCAACUAUGCAAGGGCACGUUCUUCAAAAAAAAUGAUCGAAAUUCCUCUAACGUCACGACGAUGCCACGAGUUCAAUCCAAAACGGUCGCUACAUUUUCGAAAAGUACUUAUGGGCCCAAAACGGAGACCGUGUGCAAAAGUUACGCUCAAUUCUUCGAACGUCGACAAUCCAAAUAUGCAAGUGCUUGUUCUUCAAAAGAAAAAUGGCCAAAAUCCCUCUUACGUCACGAUGAUGCCAUGGGUUCACUCCAAAACGGUCGCUACAUUUUCAAAAAGUACUUAUGUGCCCAAAACGGAAACCGUGUGCAAAAGUUACGCUCAAUUCUUCGAAUACCGACAAUUGAAAUAUGAAAGUGCUCGUUCUUCCAAAAAAAUGCCCAAAAUCCCUCAUACGUCAUGGUAAAGCUGUAAGUUCAAUCAAAAGCUGUCGCUACAUUUUUGAAAAGUACUUAUGGGCCCAAAACGGACACCAUAUGCAAACGUUACGCUCAAUUCUUCGAACGUCGACAAUCCAAAUAUGCAAAUGCUCAUUUUAAAAAAAAAAUGGCUAAAAUCCCUCUUACGUCAUGAUGGCGCUGUGAGUUCAAUCCAAAACGAAAGCAACAUUUCUGAAAAGUACUUAUGGGCCUAAAACGGACACCGUGUGCGAAAGUUAUGCUCAAUUCUUCGAAAGCCGACAAUUAAACAUGCAAGUGCUCGUUCUUUGGAAAAAAAACACCCGAAAUCCCUCAUACAUCACGGAAAAGUGAUGAGGUCAAUCCAAAACGGUCGCUACAUUUUCAAAGAGUACUUAUGCACCCAAAAUGGACACCGUGUGUAAAAGUUACGCUCAAUUCUUCGAACGCCGACAAUCCAAAUACGCAAGUUUUUGAUCUUCGAAAAAUAAAUAGUCGAAAUCCCUAUUACGUCACGACGAUGCUGUGAGUUCAACCAAAACUAUCGCUACAUUUUCGAAAAGUACUUAUGGGCCCAAAACGAAAACCGUGUGCAAAAGUUACACUUAAUUCUUUGAACGCCGGAAAUCAAAAUAUGCAAGUGCUCGUUCUUCAAAAAAAAUGCCCGAAAUCCCUCAUAGGUCACGGCAAAGCUGUGAGUUCAAUCCAAAAUGGUCGCUACAUUUCCGAAAAGUAAUUAUGGGCCCAAAACGAACACCGUGUGCAAAGGUUAUGCUCAAUUCUUCUAACGCCGACAAUCCAAAUAUGCAAGUGUUCGUUCUUCAAAAAACAAACAGCUAAAAUCCCUCUUACGUCACGACGAUGUCGUGAGUUUAAUCUAAAACGGUCGCUACAUUUACAAAAAGUACUUAUGGGCUCAAAACGGAAACCGUGUGCAAAAGUUACGUUCAAUUCUUCGAACGUCGACAAUCCAAAUAUGCAAGUGCUCAUUCUUCAAAAAACAAACGGUUAAAAUCCCUCUUACGUUACGACAAUGUUGUGACUUCAAUCCAAAAUGGUCGCUACAUUUUUGAAAAGUACUUAUGGGCCCAAAACGAACACCAUGUGCAAAAGUUAAGCUCAAUUCUUCGAACGCCGACAAUCCAACUAUGCAAGUUCUCAUUUUUCCAAAAAAAUGCCCGAAAUCCCUCAUACGUCACGGUAAAGCUGUGAGUUCAAACCAAAACUGUCGCUACAUUUUUGAAAAGUACGUAUGGGCCCAAAAGGGACACCGUGUGCAAAAGUUAAGCUCAAUUCCUCGGACGUCGACAAUCGAAAUAAGCAAGUGCUUAUUCUUCGAAAAAAAUGCUUGAAAUCCCUCAUACGUCACGUCAAAGCUGUGAGUUCAAUCCAAAACGGUCGCUACAUUUUCGUAAAGUACUUAUGGGCCCAAAACGGACACCAUGGGCAAAAAUUACGCUCAAUUCUUCGAACGUCGACAAUCCAAAUAUGCAAAUGCUUAUUAUUCAAAAAACAAACGGCUGAAAUCCCUCUUACGUCACGAUGGUACCGUGAAUUCAAUCCAAAAUGGUCGCUACAUUUCUGAAAAGUACUUAUGGGCCCAAAACGGACACCGUGUGUAAUAGUUACGCUCAAUUCCUCGGACAUCGAUAAUCCAAAUAUGCAAGUGCUCGUUCUUCGAAAAACAAACACCCAAAAACUCUCAUACAUCAUGGCAAAGUGGUGAAUUCAAUCCAAAAUGGUCGCUACAUUUUCGAAAAGUACUUAUGGGCCCAAAAUAGACACCGUAUGCAAAAGUUACGCUCAAUUCUUCGAACGUCGACAAUCCAAAUACACAAGUUUUCGUUCUUCGAAAAAUAAACUGUCGAAAUCCCUCUUACGUCACGACGAUGCCGUGAGUUCAAUCCAAAAUGGCCGCUACAUUUUCAAAAAGUACUUAUGGGCACAAAACGAAAAUCGUGUACAAAAGUUACGCUCAAUUCUUCGAAGGCUGACAAUCCAAAUAUGCAAGUGCUCAUUCUUCGAAAAAAAAUGCCCGAAAUCCCUCAUACGUCAUGGCAAAGCUGUGAGUUCAAUCCAAAACGGGCACUAAAUUUUCGAAAAGUACUUAUGGUCCAAAACGGAAACCGUGUGCAAAGGUUACGGUCAAUUCUUCGAAUGCCGACAAUCCAAUUAUGCAAGUGCUCGUUCUUCAAAAAACAAACGCACGAAGUCUCUCAUACGUCAUGGAAAAGCGAUGAGUUCAAUCCAAAAUGGUCGCUACAUUUUUUAAAAGUAUUUAUGGACCCAAAACGGAAAUCGUGUACAAAAGUUACGCUCAAUUCUUCGAACGCCGACAAUCCAAAUAUGCAAGUGCUCGUUCUUCAAAAAAUAAAUGGCCGAAAUCCAUCUUACGUCAUGAUGAUGCCAUGAGUUCAAUCCAAAUCGAUCGCUACAUUUUCGAAAAGUACUUAUGGGCCCAAAGUGGAAACCGUGUGCAAAAGUUACGCUCAAUUCUUCGAACGCCGACAAUCCAAAUAUGCAAGUGCUCGUUCUUCAAAAAACAAAUGGUCAAAAUCCCUCUUACGCCACAAUGAUGCCAUGAAUUUAAUCCAAAACGGUCACUACAUUUACGAAAAGUACUUAUGGGCCCAAAACGAAAAUCGUGUGCAAAAGUGACGCUCAAUUCUUCGAAUGCCAACAAUCCAAAUAUGCAAGUGCUUGUUCUUCAAAAAAUAAACGCCCAAAAUUUUUCAUACAUCACGGAAAAGUGAUGAGUUCAAUCCAAAACGGUCGCUACAUUUUCGAAAAGUACUUAUGGGCCCAAACCUGACACCGUGUGCAAAAGUUACGAUCAAUUCUUCGAAUGCCGACAAUCAAAAUAUGCAAGUGCUCGUUCUUUGAAAAACAAACGAUCGAAAUCCCUCUUACAUCACGAUGAUGUCGUGAGUUUAAUCCAAAAUGGUCGCUACAUUUUCGAAAAGUACUUAUGGGCCCAAAACAGAAACCAUGUGCAAAAGUUACGCUCAAUUCUUCGAACACCGACAAUCCAAAUAUGCAAGUGCUCAUUCUUCAAAAAACAAACUGUUGAAAUCCCUCUUACGUCACGAUGAUGCCAUGAGUUCAAUCCAAAACGGUCGUUACAUUUUCGAAAAGUACUUAUGGGCCCAAAACGAACACCGUGUGCAAAAGUUACGCUCCAUUCUUCGAACGCCGAUAAUCCAGUUAUGCAAGUGCUCGUUCUUCGAAAGAAAAAGGCUCGAAAUGCCUCAUACGUCAUGGCAAAGCGGUGAGUUCAAUCCAAAAUGGUCGCUACAUUUUUGAAAAGUACUUAUGGGCCCAGAACGGACACCGUGCGGAUCGACAAACAUGGAUUGCCCAGUUUCAGAGGUUCAUAAUUUUUGGCUAUUCUUUAUUGUAUAGGGAAGUAGUACUUCCUCAUUUAUUGCUUUCAUUUAUUAUAUUCAUUUGUUGCAUCACUGCUUUUUGGAGGUCAGGUUCAUGCCCCCCUCCUUCCGUGUAUUCUUGAUUUUUAUGAAAUAAAUAUGAUUGGAGAACCCUUAACCCCCAUCGACCUUCCUUGGUGGACCCUAAAAAGUCACUAAGGAUGUGUGGAUGUCUUUCCCAAAAAAAAAAAAAAAAAAAAAAACGGACACCGUGUACAAAAGUUGCUCUAAAUUCUUCGAACGUCGACAAUCCAAAUAUGUAAGUGCUCGUUCUUCAAAAAAUAAACGGUCGAAAUCCCUCUAACGUCACAACAAUGUCCUGAGUUCAAUCCAAAAUGGUACCUACAUUUUUGAAAAGUACUUAUGGGCCCGAAACGAAAACCGUGUGUAAAAGUUAUGCUCAAUUCUUCGAUCGUCGACAAUCCAAAUAUGCAAGUGCUCAUUCUUCGAAAAAAUGCCCUAAAUCCCUCAUACGUCACGGCAAAGCUGUGAGUUCAAUCUAAAAUGGUCGCUACAUUUUCGAAAAGUACUUAUGGGCCCAAAAUGGAAACCGUGUGCAAAAGUUAUGCUCAAUUCUUUGAACGUCGAGAAUCCAAAUAUGCAAGUACUCGUUGUUCAAAAAACAAACGGCCGAAAUCCCUCUUGCAUCACGAUGAUGCCAUGAGUUCAAUCCAAAAUGAUCGCUACAUUUUCGAAAAGUACUUAUGGGCCCAAAACGAACGCCGCGUGCAAAAGUUACGCUCAAUUCUUCGAAUGCCGACAAUCAAAAUAUGCAAGUGCUCUUUCUUCCAAAAACAAAUAGUAGAAAUCCCUCUCACGUCACGAACAUGCCGUGAGUUUAAUCCAAAACGGUCGAUACAUCUACGAAAAGUACUUAUUGGCCCAAAACGAAAAUCGUGUGCAAAAGUUAUGCUAAAUUCUUCGAAUGUCGAGAAACCAAAUAUACAAGUGCUCAUUCUUCAAAAACAAACGCCAAAAAUCCCUCAUACAUCACAGAAAAAUGGUGAGUUCAAUCUAAAAUGGUCGCUACAUUUCUGAAAAGUACUUAAGGGCCCAAAACUAGCACCGUGUGAUAAAGUUGCGAUCAAUUCUUCGAACGUCGACAAUCCAAAUAUGCAAGUGCUCGUUCUUCGAAAAACAGACGGUCGAAAUCCCUAUUUAAAUCACGACGAUGCCAUGAGUUCAAUCAAAAAUGGUCGCUACAUUUUCGAAAAGUACUUAUUGGCCCAAAACGGAAACCGUGUGCAAACGUUAAGCUCAAUUCUUCGAACGAUGACAAUCCAAUUAUGCAAGUGCUUGUUCUUCAAAAAACAAAUGGCCGAAAUCCCUCUUAUGUCGCGAUGAUGCCAUGAGUUCAAUCAAAAACAGUCGCUACAUUUCCGAAAAGUACUUAUGGGCCCAGAACGAACACUGUGUGCAAAAGUUACGCUCCAUUCUUCGAACACCGACAAUCCAAUUAUGCAAGUGCUCGUUCUUCGAAAGAAAAAUGCCCAAAAUCCCUCAUAUGUCAUGGCAAAGUGGUGAGUUCAGUCCAAAAUGGCUGUGACAUUCCAAAAAGUAUUAAGGGCCCAAAAUGGACACCGUGUACAAAAGUUACGCUCAAUUCUUCGAACGCCGACAAUCCAAAUAUGCAAGUGCUCGUUCAUUGAAAAACAAACGAUUGAAAUCCCUCUUACGUCACGACGAUGUGUGAGUUUAGUCCAAAAUGGUCGCUACAUUUCCGAAAAGUACUUAUUUGCCCAAAACGAAAAUCGUGUGCAAAAGUUACGCUCAAUUCUUUGAACGUCGACAAUCCAAAUAUGCAAGUGCUCGUUCUUUGAAAGAAAAAUGCCUGAAAUCCCUCAUACGUCAUGGUAA